GACGAACGCUGGCGGCGUGCUUAACACAUGCAAGUCGAACGGAAAGGCCCUGCUUUUGUGGGGUGCUCGAGUGGCGAACGGGUGAGUAACACGUGAGUAACCUGCCCUUGACUUUGGGAUAACUUCAGGAAACUGGGGCUAAUACCGGAUAGGAGCUCCUGCUGCAUGGUGGGGGUUGGAAAGUUUCGGCGGUUGGGGAUGGACUCGCGGCUUAUCAGCUUGUUGGUGGGGUAGUGGCUUACCAAGGCUUUGACGGGUAGCCGGCCUGAGAGGGUGACCGGCCACAUUGGGACUGAGAUACGGCCCAGACUCCUACGGGGGGCAGCGGUGGGGAAUAUUGCACAAUGGGCGGAAGCCUGAUGCAGCAACGCCGCGUGCGGGAUGACGGCCGUCGGGUUGUAAACCGCUUUCGCCUGUGACGAAGCGUGAGUGACGGUAAUGGGUAAAGAAGCACCGGCUAACUACGUG
rnacentral:rRNA from 1 species